GGAAGGAGAAAUCGAAGGCCGUCCGGGUGAGGAAGGCUCCCUUUGCCGGGCCCCAGCGCCCCGCGGGGCCGGAGCGGGGCCCGGCAGCCAGGCGGCCUCGUCCCCCGAGAGCUGUGAGACCCCGGUGGGGGACAGCCAGGCACCGGCGUCACGGAGGAGAAAGGGGGGAGGAGCGGGAGAAAGAGGCACCUCGCUGCAGCGCCCAGAGCGGGAGCUGCGGUGAGCGCCGGGUCCUCGGGGCCUGUCUCCCCGCUUGCGUGUCCCAGGCCCCUGCUCUGGCCCCUCUCCUCUCCGUGCUGCUGUGGGGUGUUUUUUCUGGUGGGGGGACCCUGGCUGGACACCAGGUGCCCAGCAAAGCCGCUCUUGUCACUCCCCCUCCUCAGCGGGGCAGGGGAGAGAAAAUAACAAUGAAAAGCUCGUGGGUUGAGGUCCUGCUACGAGCCUGCUCCAGUGCGGCUUGCCCAUGGGGUCACAGCCUCCUUCAGACAUCCACCUGCCCCAGCGUGGGGUCCUCCCCAGGCUGCAGGUGCACGUCUGCUCCAUCAUGGACUUCAUGAGCUGAGGGCCACUGCCUGCCUCACCAUGGGCUUCACCACGGGCUGCAGGUGAAAUGGAUCAGCACUUCAUCUGACAAAUUGUUUCUCUUCCCUUCCUCCUGAAGGGGGCGCAACUCUCUGAAACUCUUGGACUUUUCUGAGCAGAUAAGAGAUAAGGAGCAUUAGAUGCGGGAGCUGGCGCAGUAGCAGGAGACUGAAGCCUAUGAAAUCUUUAGCAGGAGAGCACAGGACAGACAAAAAGGCAAAUGACACAGGCAAGGUAUUGAAUGGGACAAAUAUACGGGCCUAGAACAACAGAAGAUUCCCAGCUGGUUGUGCAGACUGACACUCGUUUACAACCUUUGAUUUAAAGGCUUGUUGAAACGUGGAUGCUCAUCUCAGGAAGCUCAUCUGUGGGCAUGAAACAGAACAUUUUUCUUCCUGCAGAUCCAGGUUUCAUAAAUGUUACAUAUAGCUAUAUACACUAGAAACUGUAAUUUUCAUCAGCAGUGACCAAACCAUUGUUAAUUGUUCUCCAUUGUUGUGUUAUUGCUUGUUAAAGAAAAUGUGUUUUGAAUUAAGAAAUGUGAAGUGCUGAAGCAGCUAAGUGGCAGAACCAGGCCUCGUCCCUAGCGCAGCUCUAAUCCAAGGCUGGUUUAAAACCCAGUCCAGUUAAUCAGUGGGAGAACAGAGAAACAACAGAUGAUCAAUUUGUGCACAGAGGUGCUCUCAGAAAUGCAGGUGUUUUUAGAAAAAUUGGUAUACGUGAAUAGGAAUUGCUUGUUCAAAGACUAAGUGCGCUUGAAGGAGUGUGUGAGUUAAAGCAGGCAGAAAGACGAUCAAGAUCCAAGGAGGAGCCUGAAACUGAGGCAGAGACUGGAACCGAACCGAUCAAUCACCUGGGACAGAGUCAGGUGAUGGAUUUGCAGAACUGACAGGGCCAAAGGAAAUUCCUAAAAACUUCAGACGUUGACUAAUGAUUUGAUAAGCGUAUAUAAGCUGUGCUCUAUUGCUUGAUUCUCUGCCACUCACUGAGGUGGUGGCCCAGCUCUGUGUUGUGACUAAAGCAAACCCAGUGCUACCCA